rnacentral:rRNA from 1 species
AACGCUGGCGGCGUGCCUAAUACAUGCAAGUCGAACGGUCUUUCUAUGGAAGCUUGCUUCCACUGAGAAGAUAGUGGCGAACGGGUGAGUAACACGUGGGUAACCUGCCCAUAAGAGGGGGAUAACAUCCGGAAACGGUGCUAAUACCGCAUAGUUUCUUGAUCGCAUGAUCGGGAAAGGAAAGACGGCCUUUGUGCUGUCGCUUAUGGAUGGACCCGCGGCGUAUUAGUUAGUUGGUGAGGUAACGGCUCACCAAGACGAUGAUACGUAGCCGACCUGAGAGGGUGAUCGGCCACAUUGGGACUGAGACACGGCCCAAACUCCUACGGGAGGCAGCAGUAGGGAAUCUUCCGCAAUGGACGAAAGUCUGACGGAGCAACGCCGCGUGAGUGAAGAAAAGGUUUUCGGAUCGUAAAACUCUGUUGUCAGAGAAGAACAAGUUGGAGAGUAACUGCUCCAGCCUUGACGGUAUCUGACCAGAAAGCCACGGCUAACUACGUGCCAGCCGCAGC